AAUCUAACUGCACGCAAUUGGAUAACACCACAACCAGUCACAACAACACACGGGGUGACGUAUCCAGAACCCCGUAUGCUUAGCUACCAGCAGCUAACUGGUAGACUAAACUGUCGUCAUCUGGUUGGAAAAACAGCAA